rnacentral:rRNA from 1 species
AGAAUGAACGUUGGCGGCGUGGAUUAGGCAUGCAAGUCGAGCGAGAAGAGUUUGGUAGCUUGCUAUUGAACUCGGACAGCGGCGAAAGGGAGAGUAACGCGUAGUUAUGUACCCAGGGGUUCGGAAUAGCCACGGGAAACUGUGGGUAAUGCCGAAUAACAUCUCCGGAUCAAAGGUGUGAUUCCGCCCUUGGAGCAGACUGCGUCCUACUAGCUAGUUGGUGGGGUAAUGGCCCACCAAGGCAACAAUGGGUAGCGGGUGUGAGAGCAUGACCCGUCUCACUGGGACUGAGACACUGCCCAGACACCUACGGGUGGCUGCAGUCGAGAAUCUUCGGCAAUGGGCGAAAGCCUGACCGAGCGACGCCGCGUGCGGGAUGAAGGCCCUCGGGUUGUAAACCGCUGUCGUAGGGGAGGAAGGCUCCGUGAAGAACGGGGUUUGACCUAUCCUAGGAGGAAGUACGGGCUAAGUUCGUGCCAGCAGCCGC